UUUUUUUUUUUUUAAAGACGGAAUCUCACUCUGUUGCCCAGGCUGGAGUGCAAUGGCAUGAUCUCAGCUCACUGCAACCUCUGCCUUCCAGGUUAAAGCGAUUCUCCUGCCUCAGCCUCCUGAGUAGCUAGAAUUACAGGUGCGUGCCACCAUGGUUAAUUUUUGUAUUUUUAGUAGAGAUGGGGUUUCACCAUGUUGAUCAGGCUGGUCUCAAACUCCUGACCUUGUGAAUCCGCCUGCCUCAGCCUCCCAAAGUGCUGGGAUUACGGGCGUGAACACUGCGCCUGGCCCCAAAACAGCUUAUCUUCAAGCAUGAGAGUGGAGGGAGAGGAACUGGGGAGGCAGGUGGCACUCAGGUCACAAAGCUUAGGAGACAAAUGUUAAUGGGUUUUUUGAAAUUAGUUCAGGAUGCAGGACAAUUCUUUGUUGUGGGUGACUGCCUCACACACUGCAGGUCACCUGAGUCCCUGGCCUCACAUAAGUAUUAACAGUGUCCCCCAACCAUUAUGACAACCACAUAUGCCCCUCACAUGUCCACAGAGCUUCCUGUGGGUGGUGGCCCCUGGGUGUGGAGUGCCACUUCCCCCAUCCCUGCUGAGACCCACCAGCUCAGAAGAAGCCUGCAGGAGCUGGAGGAUGAGACUGCAGUCCUGGAGCAGGAUUCCAGGUGAGGAAUCUAGCAUAAAGUCGAAUCUGAGCAGUUUGGACUUGAAGGAACUUGUUUAUCCCAGAACCUAAGACUCAGAGAAACAGCCUGGAAUUGAACACUGAAAUUCCUCCCGCAGCGUGCCAGUGUGGAGAGGCGGAACCCUAUGAGGUCAGUGGCCACAGGCACCUCUCUCCCUGCCAGGGGAGUGGCACCUGGCCUAGUGGCCUGAUGGGCCCCGUGGUAGUCUCUGAUUCUCUGAGGUUGGGAUGUGACAGGCAGUCUGUGAGCUAUGUGUUAUCCUUGAAGAGCAACUGCUCCUAGGUGCAAUGAAUCUUAGUAAAGGUUAAGAGUUAAAUGUAGCGGCCAGGCACCAUGGCUCAUGCCUGUAAUCCCAGCAAUUUGGGAGGCCGAGGCAGGUGGAUCACCUGAAGUCAGGAGUUCAAAAUCAGCCUGGCCAACAUGAUGAAAUCCUGCCUCUACCAAAAAUACAAAAAAUUAGCUGGGCGUGGUGAUGGGCAUCUGUAAUCCCAGCUACUUGGGAGGUUGAGACAGGAGAAUCUCUGGAGCCCAGAAGGCAGAGCUUGCAGUGAACUGAGAUCGCGCCACUGCACUCCAGCCUGGAUGACAAGGGCAAAACUCCAUCUCAAAAAAAAAAAAAAAGUAGUAAACGUAGCAGCAUGAUUCACAAGAGCCAAAACAUGAGCACAACCCAAAUGUCCAUCUAUAGAUGAAUGGAUAAACAAAAUAUGGUGUAUACAAACAAUGGAAUGCAAUUCAGCCCUAAGUAGGAAGGCAAUUCUGACUCAUACUACAACAUGGAUGAACCCUGAGGACGUUAUGCACAGUGAAAUAAGCCAGUCACCAAAGGACAAAUAGUGUGUGAUUCACUCAAGUGAGGUCCAUGGAAUCAUCAUGCUCUUAGAGACAGAAUAGUGGUUGCCAGGGGCUUGGGGAGGGAGGGAAUGGGGAGUUAGUGUUUAACGGGUACAGAGUUUCAGCUGGAGACAUGAAAAAGUUCC
rnacentral:lncRNA from 1 species